rnacentral:lncRNA from 1 species
AGUGAAGUCCAGCACAUUCAUACUCGGAAUAACUUUGAGUCCUCCUGAGUCUAGGUCUCUAAUUAAUUGAGGUCAUUCAUGGAGCCAGUUCACACCCAGUUCACAAAGCCACCUGGUAACAUUAAUGUUUCCUAAUCACAACCAUGAUUUCUUAACCACAGUCAUCUUUUCUGAUCAUAAUUAAUUAUAACCGCAGGAGAAGUGCCAUAGUUCUAGCUGUGCAAACUCAGAGCAUGGUACUUACCUCUUUCAGGUCUGUGCAUCUGCCUGUGUCAAAAAACCGGGGACUGGCAAGAUGGUGUCUCACAUCUUUUCCAGCCCGACAACGCUGAAUUCAGUUUUCACUCUAGGAUUAAUGGUUAAUCUACAAGACACACCUCACACACUACCAGGGUCUGACUUGUGCUCUAUAAUUUCCAUUGUAAUAUCACAAAUUGGAGGUAAUAUUGGGUUUGCAGAGUGCAGUGAGCUUGAAAAUUAUUAAAAUGGCUCAAGUUUUUGCCUCUGAAAUCCUUCAAAAUGUCCUUUCUCUCUUCCUUUUAAACAAAACAAAUGCUAGAGUGCCUUUAAAAUGCCUCGAAGCUUUAUGGUAGACUCUUUAUAUGCAUUGCUUAUUUAACUCGGAUUUGAACAUUGCAAGUAGUUUCAAUCAAUGGCAACAUAGAAAACAUUAGAAAUAAUAAUCAUUAAUCCAGUCAUUUAAAUCAGAGCAAUGAAUAGAUGUUCCACUGAACAGAAGACAUACUUGAUUUAAAACUCAUUCAUUUCCAUGUUCCGGUUAUAGUGGUAUGGAAUGAACUAUUUAUUUGUAUACAUCAGGUUCCCAGGAUGAAACACAGGCACUCAGACUGAAUCAUUUGAGGACAGUUAAGUACAAGGAAAAGCUGGCUUAAAACUCAACAUUCAAAAAACUAAGAUCAUGGCAUCCGGUCCCAUCACUUCAUGGCAAAUAGAUGAAGAAACAAUGGGAACAGUGACAGACUGUAUUUUCUUGGGCUCCAAAAUCACUACAGAUGGUAAC